CGGCACUCCAGAUGUUUUGGACUACUCUUUCCAUAAUGCUUUGCCAGCAUUAUGGGGGAUGAAGUCCACAACAUCUUGGGUGCCG